UUCGCGAUCGCGUCGCGCAUGAGGAUAUCACCAGGUAAACUCGCGACAUUUUUAAACAUUUUGUUGUUCAACAGCAUCAAGACUGACGGAGUGUGUUUGAGAUAACCUCACAAGUGUCACAGAUGACACAUUUGGUGGGUUUUUUUUGCUGGUUUGUCGGCAGCAGCUUUGAAACGCAAGUCUGCCACACAUCUGUUCGACCAACGCCAGUUGAUCUAAACGCCAGUUGAUCUGGAACACCGGAACAAAUUGGGAAUGUUCCACGAGAGGAGGUGUUUGUACAGAGAGCUGCUUUUUCAUCCAAAGAGAAUAAAUCACUAUCAACGUUUGGAUCGAUAUCUGCAUCGAUCUGCCCACCCUUGUCUCCCGGAUCGUAGCUGAGAUCAGCGUGAACCACGUGGGUCUCUGCUCCCUGAUCUGUUUCCUGUGUUUGGAAAGAGUUCCAGCUUCAUCACGGAGUUUCUCUCGGUUUGUGGGCUCAUCUAAAGCUGAUCAGCAGGAGGAGAAGAGUCUGACGGAGCAGCAGAGGAACAUUUUCAGCCAUCUGGACUCAGCUGAGUCACUACAGAGGAAACAAUGAGCUCAACACAGAAGGACCAACAUGGAGCGAGAAGUCAGCGCUCUCAGGAGGCCGACAAACCUCACAGAAGAAAGGGAGAGAAAAAAUACAGCUGUGAUGAGUGUGGAAAGAAUUUUACUGAGAAGGCUAAUCUAAAACGUCAUCAGGUCAUCCACACUGGAGAGAGACCGUUCAGCUGUGACUUGUGUGGAAAGUCUUUUUCCUGGAAGGAUACUCUAAAAAAACACCAACUCAUCCACAGUGGAGUUAAAGCGUACAGCUGUGAUCAGUGUGGCAGAGCUUUUACUCAAAGUAGCCACUUAAAGAGUCAUCUAGUUACCCACUCUGGAAUUAAGGCAUACAGCUGUGACAUCUGUGGCAAAACUUUCAUCCGCAUAGGGAACCGAAAUACACACCUACGCAUUCACACCGGACAUGAUGUGUACUGCUGUGAUCAGUGUGACAAACAGUUUACAACAAACCAGCAGUUACAACGCCACAUGUUUACCCACAAUGAGGAGAGACCUUAUAAAUGUGACCUGUGUGAGAAGACUUUUAAAUCUCCACAUUACCUGAGACUACACCAACAGAUCCACACCAGAAAGAGACUCUACAAGUGCAGUUACUGUGAGAAGCAGAGCGACACAGAUGGAUCCAGUUCUCAACCCUGUCAUCACUGUGGGAAAGAGUUUUUUCUGUGACCUUUGUGGAAAAACUUUCAGUUGGCAAGUCUCCCUAAAAAGACAUCAACGUAGACACACUGGAGACAAACUGAAAUGCUGCAAAGAAUGUGGG